rnacentral:rRNA from 1 species
GAGACCGGCGCACGGGUGCGUAACGCGUAUGCAAUCUACCUUUCACAAAGGGAUAGCCCAGAGAAAUUUGGAUUAAUACCUUAUAGUAUAUAUGAAUGGCAUCAUUUAUAUAUUAAAGAUUUAUCGGUGAAAGAUGAGCAUGCGUCCCAUUAGCUAGUUGGUAAGGUAACGGCUUACCAAGGCAACGAUGGGUAGGGGUCCUGAGAGGGAGAUCCCCCACACUGGUACUGAGACACGGACCAGACUCCUACGGGAGGCAGCAGUGAGGAAUAUUGGACAAUGGGCGCAAGCCUGAUCCAGCCAUGCCGCGUGCAGGAUGACGGUCCUAUGGAUUGUAAACUGCUUUUAUACGAGAAGAAACACUCCGACGUGUCGGAGCUUGACGGUAUCGUAAGAAUAAGGAUCGGCUAACUCCGUGCCAGCAGCCGCGGUAAUACGGAGGAUCCAAGCGUUAUCCGGAAUCAUUGGGUUUAAAGGGUCCGUAGGCGGUCAGGUAAGUCAGUGGUGAAAGCCCAUCGCUCAACGGUGGAACGGCCAUUGAUACUGUCUGACUUGAAUUAUUAGGAAGUAACUAGAAUAUGUAGUGUAGCGGUGAAAUGCUUAGAGAUUACAUGGAAUACCAAUUGCGAAGGCAGGUUACUACUAAUGGAUUGACGCUGAUGGAC